GUUAUGCAGUGAGUUCGACGUUAUAUUCUAUACUAGCUCACAGUCUGACCAUUGGAAUCUAUACACCCUUAAUUGUUUCCGUAAAUUAAACCAUGAAACUGUUGACUGCGACCAUUUCAACUAGUUUUAUUUCCGGAUAGCCCUUUAAGCUCCCGUUUUAGUAUAAUAACUCUUUUAAGGAUUAUAACUUGGACUUCCAAUAUGUCGACAUGGAUAAACAGCCUCAAGUCAACUUUGUAAGUGCUCCGUCACCAUGACGUGUCGCUGUUGGAAUCAAGUUAUGCAGAUUGUUGAGAGCAAUAUGAUGAGGGAAGGCAGGAAAGAGUCUUAUUGUCUGUAUGUACUUAUGGCAAAAUGGUGUUCGAGAGGUGGCGAAAAAGGAUUUGCUUGCAGCAUUGAAGAACGAUAUAUACAAAGGACAGAAAGAAAGGUUCUCUUAACAUAGAAAGUAUGAAGAAAUAAUGAAGUUCACACUACAGUUGACAAUCUGGAUGGGUUUCCUUUGUUAUUUGAACAUGAUUUAUUUUAAUUUACAUAACAAGUAUGCACUACAAUAAUGAAUAUCUUUAUUAAUAGUAAUGAUAUUCCAUUGAACAUGGAUAUGGAAAAAAUAUUCCUUGACAAUGCAAGAUAAGAUAAAUCCAGACAUAGAGUCUUCAGUUAACUUGGAUGUGUUCCAUUUGUUUCAUCCACAAACUUGAAAUUUGUCUUGUAACUACAUGUAUUUUUAUGAGGUUAAGUGUUGAGUAAUCAACCUUUAUCAAAACAUAUUCUUAUUUGGGGAUAGUAUGUAUUUAUGUUGACACUAUGUAUACCUUCAUUCUCUUCAUUUUUCUGUACAAAACAAGACCAAAUGUGUCAUUUUAGUUUAACCAUUUUAAACUGUAUUUAUUCUACUCUUCAUUGAAUACCCAUUCGUAUAUUAUCAAACAUUUUAACAAAUUUAAAUGUGUUGUUAUUUUGAUUAUAUUGUAUUGGUGUCAUAGGGUACAUGUACAUGUCCAUUCCUAGCCUUCAAGAAAAAACAGAUAUAUUCUUUGUUGUGAAAUGUGUUCUUUAUGCGUAUACAUAUAGAGUGGCUACAGAGAACUCAACAUUUUUCUUACAAAAUAUCUAAGGGUUUCCCUGCAUGUGAUUGCUACAUUCAGUGUACCUCAUGUUAUUUAAUACAUUGUAUAUGAUCAAAUAAACAGAUUAAGAACCAAAGCUGUUGCUAAAUUCUUUUUAAAAGCUGUAUAUGUACAAGACAAUACUGAGACUGUAUAGACACCAAUGUUUGUCCUAACUUGAAAAUGUAUAGAUUCCAAUGAUUGCCUUGAGUUUAGGCUGUAUAGAUUCCAAUGUUUGUCUUAAGCUGAGGCUGUAUAUAUUCUAAUGUUUGUCUUCAGUUGAGGCUGUAUAGAUUCCAAUGUAUGGUUCAGUUGAGGCUGUAUAUAUUCCAAUGUUUGUCUUAAGCUGAGGCUGUAUAGAUUCUAAUGUUUGUCUUCAGUUGAGGCUGUAUAUAUUCUAAUGUUUGCUUUCAGUUAAGGCUGUAUAGAUUCCAAUGUUUAUCUUAAGUUGAGGCUGUAUAGAUUCUAAUGUUUGCUUUCAGUUAAGGCUGUAUAGAUUAUAAUGUUUAUCUUAAGUUGAGGCUGUAUAGAUUCCAAUGUUUGUCUUAAGCUGAGGCUGUAUAGAUUCUAAUGUUUGCCUUCAGUUGAGGCUGUUCAGUUGAGGCUGUAUAUAUUCUAAUUUUUGUCUUCAGUUGAGGCAAUAUAGAUUCUAAUGUUUGUCUUAAGCUGAGGCUGUAUAUAUUCUAAUGUUUGCUUUCAGUUAAGGCUGUAUAGAUUCCAAUGUUUAUCUUAA